UUUUUUUAUUUAAUUAGCUCUGACAUUAGCUGGUGGACAUGGAGGGAAUGGGUCAGUGUCUGAUGGGGAAUCAAAUAACUCAACAAUAUUUGUUGGGGGCAUUGACGCUGAUGUUACUGAAGAAGACCUCAGACAACCUUUCUCCCAGUUUGGGGAGGUUGUUUCGGUAAAGAUCCCAGUAGGAAAAGGAUGCGGUUUUGUCCAAUUUGGUAACAGGCAGAGUGCUGAAGAAGCCAUUGGGAACUUGAACGGGACAGUCAUCGGGAAAAACACUGUCCGGCUUUCUUGGGGACGCAGCCCAAACAGACAGUGGAGAGGUGACCAACAAUGGAACGGAGGAUACUCAAGAGGACAAGGUUACAGCAACGGAUAUGCUAAUCAAGACUCAAACAUGUAUGCUGCUGCAGCGGCUGCUGUCCCUGGAACAUCUUGAAAGUGUUGGUUAUGUCUCGUGAGUCCUGCUGGACUUACGGGCAUUGGUUUCUAAAAGAAACCAUCGGAAUGUCAAAGGGAUUCGAUGAUUAGUUGUUGGUUCAGGGAUUAGCUCGCUUCAACAAAACUAAAAAACCUCUUUAAGUGCAAAGAGGGUUUAGUAUCCUAUGGAUUUGAACUUUGUUUAUCUUGCUGUCUCAGUCUCUAACAUUUUGGGGCUGUCUUAAACUUGAAUUCUAUUCUCGGUUUCUUUAA